AUUGAACGCUGGCGGCAGGCCUAACACAUGCAAGUCGAGCGGAUGAAGGGAGCUUGCUCCUGGAUUCAGCGGCGGACGGGUGAGUAAUGCCUAGGAAUCUGCCUGGUAGUGGGGGAUAACGUCCGGAAACGGGCGCUAAUACCGCAUACGUCCUGAGGGAGAAAGUGGGGGAUCUUCGGACCUCACGCUAUCAGAUGAGCCUAGGUCGGAUUAGCUAGUUGGUGGGGUAAAGGCCUACCAAGGCGACGAUCCGUAACUGGUCUGAGAGGAUGAUCAGUCACACUGGAACUGAGACACGGUCCAGACUCCUACGGGAGGCAGCAGUGGGGAAUAUUGGACAAUGGGCGAAGGCCUGAUCCAGCCAUGCCGCGUGUGUGUAGAAGGUCUUCGGAUUGUAAAGCACUUUAAGUUGGGAGGAAGGGCAGUAAGUUAAUACCUUGCUGUUUUGACGUUACCAACAGAAUAAGCACCGGCUAACUUCGUG
rnacentral:rRNA from 1 species